CUGACGGAGCAACGCCGCGUGAGUGAUGAAAGCUUUCUGGGUCGUAAAACUCUGUUGUUAGGGAAGAACAAGUGCUAGUUGAAUAAGCUGGCACCUUGACGGUACCUAACCAGAAAGCCACGGCUAACUACGUGCCAGCAGCCGCGGUAAUACGUAGGUGGCAAGCGUUAUCCGGAAUUAUUGGGCGUAAAGCGCGCGCAGGUGGUUUCUUAAGUCUGAUGUGAAAGCCCACGGCUCAACCGUGGAGGGUCAUUGGAAACUGGGAGACUUGAGUGCAGAAGAGGAAAGUGAAAUUCCAUGUGUACCGGUGAAAUGCGUAAAGAUAUGGAGGAACACCAGUGGCGAAGGCGACUUUCUGGUCUGUAACUGACACUGAGGCGCGAAAGCGUGGGGAGCAAACAGGAUUAGAUACCCUGGUAGUCCACGCCGUAAACAAUGAGUGCUAAGUGUUAGAGGGUUUCCGCCCUUUAGUGCUGAAGUUAACGCAUUAAGCACUCCGCCUGGGGAGUACGGCCGCAAGGCUGACACUCAUAGGAUUUGACGGGGGCCCGCACAAGCGGUGGAGCAUGUGGUUUAAUUCAAAGCAACGCGAAGAACCUUACCAGGUCUUGACAUCCUCUGAAAACCCUAGAGA
rnacentral:rRNA from 1 species